GGGGGUGCAUUGGUUUCGACGGGGGUUGUGAAGUCGCUUGGCGCAUGCCGAGGGUGUAGCUUUCCUCGUAAAUCCAGCUGCAAAACUCUAGUUGCCAACGACGACAACUACGCUUCGGAUUUCGCAGUCGCAGCCUAACGGUUGACCUGCGUCAUCCUUCGCCGCCUUAGGUGAAGCCUCGAAACUGCCUGUGUCCAUGCUAGCAGCGUAGAGUCAUUAUCAUGGAAUCGAGCUGGGCGGCUGCCUGUCAGUCCAGCACUAGAACACAGCAGGCUUGUUCCGGGAUGUGCUUCGCACACCGUGCUGUUCCGGAACGAAAUCCAACGGUGAGCUAAGCAUGUAGAGCUGGGGAUGGAGUGCCUUCGGACGGCGGUUCAAUUCCGCCCACCUCCACCA
rnacentral:tmRNA from 3 species